GAGUGGCCGCUUCUUCUGUCGGGUGAGUGAAAUCAUAUCGCUGCGCAGACAGUGAUUUAACCUCUGGCCUGAGUGCUAGGGAGCUUCCUCUACCAGGUUCGGAAAGUGCCGUGCGCAGGGAGAGAGUCAAGUGAGAACCGUCAGUCUGGGGGAUCAAUUCCACCGCAGCUAAUUGAGAUUGAACAGGAGGAAAUGCGUCGGCUCGGCUAGACACAAAUCCGGGCUGACGCUCUCAAACGCCGUUGCUUUCUCUAACCGGCGCAGGAAGAGAGGCAGCCGGGAUGGAACGCGGCUGACAGCGAGCGAAUGAAGAGCUAGUCGGCGGCCUGGCGCGGAAGGCGAGGGCUCUGGAACCGAUCGACGUGGCUGAAAGAUAUUCAGGGAAUGUCUGGAGCAGAAGAAACCCGAUGCUCUCUUUUUCUGGGUCCGUCCGAAUGGAAGUUUCCGGCGAAGCACGCCAGUAUUCUG